CUCGAAUAAAUUAUGUUGCUGGCGUAUGAAUAAAAAAAUAAAAAAUAAAAAACAGGAUUUUGAUAGUAACUAUAAAUCUUUAGAACUCGAAAUGUUCUAAAUUUGCCACACCUUUCCAGUGGAUAUUUCUCAAGGUUUUUCCAGCAUCAGAAGUCAUCGUCACAGUCGUGUAAUUUUCCAAAUCAGUGAAUGGGAGACUACCACAAAUAUUUUAUUUUUUUUGCAUUCCCAUUUGCUCAAAUAGCAGAAGACUCAACAAUAAUGUUUUCAUGACUUUCAAAACUUUUUUUUGUAAUUUGAUAAAAGCAGCUGACCAGUUACAGGAUUAAGUUGAACUUUUCCCAAAAUGAGUGACUUCAUUGCUUUCGUCAAUGCCUUCAAGGCCUGAUACACAUCUAGAGCUAAAGGAGAACUCAGACACCCAAAGGUACAAACAUUUAUUGAUCAUAUAUUUGAAAACGAGAAUAUUCUUCUUUUUAGGGGUUUUGCCCUUAAAAACCGCUAGAUGGAGCCUUUCUCAAGAUAUGGUUUUAUGUUUACCUUGACACACUGUCACUCAUGCUGCAGUAUGCUUAAAAAUAAUGCCACAGUGCAGUGUGUACAUAGAUCAACAUCUUAAAUAUGAGACCAGAAUGUGUCCUGUGCACACUCCAACACUCAAAAAUACCAGGAUGAACUGGAAUGGGGCAAAGAGAACUGCAUUCAAAUCAAACUAAUCAGAUAGGUGGCAGAGCUCUUUGAGGAUCUGAAGAAGAGAGUGUCAAAAUGUAACUAAAUUUAGCUCCUCGAACCCCACAGACUACACCAGCCUGCACAAACAGAUAAUCAUCCUGCAAGUAUAGACAAAUACACACCACAUUACACUGUUGUUUAAAAGUUUGAGUCAGCAAGAUAUUAUUAUUAUUAAGAAUUUUUUUUUUUUGCAGUAUCAUGUGACACUGAAGACUAAUAAAAUGAUUACUGAAAAUUCAGAUUUGUGGUCACUGGAAUAAAUAAUUUUUUUACAUAUAUUAAAAUAGAGUUGUUGUUUUUUGUAAUUGUAGCAAUAAAGCAUGAAUAUAACACUUUUUACUGUACUUUUGAUAAAAUAAGCAUAGCCUUGGUGAGCAAAAGAGACUUAGCAUCA